GGCGAACGGGUGAGUAAUAUAUCGGAACGUACCGAGUAAUGGGGGAUAACUAAUCGAAAGAUUAGCUAAUACCGCAUAUUCUCUGAGGAGGAAAGCAGGGGACCUUCGGGCCUUGCGUUAUUCGAGCGGCCGAUAUCUGAUUAGCUAGUUGGUGGGGUAAAGGCCUACCAAGGCGACGAUCAGUAGCGGGUCUGAGAGGAUGAUCCGCCACACUGGGACUGAGACACGGCCCAG
rnacentral:rRNA from 1 species